GAUGAACGCUGGCGGCGUGUCUUAGCCAUGCAAGUCGAGCGGACUUAUGGGGUAACUUAUAAGUCAGCGGCGGACGGCGGAGUAACACGUAGCUAACCUACCCUCUGGACGGGGGAUAACCUACCGAAAGGUGGGCUAAUACCCGAUGUAGUCAUCCUGUAUAGGGGUGAUGAAGGUGGGCUUCUGUUUACAAGCUCAUGCUGGAGGAGGGGGCUGCGGCCUAUCAGGUAGUUGGUAGGGUAAUAGCCUACCAAGCCGAUGACGGGUAGCCGGCCUGAGAGGGUGACCGGCCCGAGGGGCAACUGAGAUACGGGUCCCGACUCCUACGGGAGGCAGCAGGCUAGAAAUUUGGGCAAUGGGGGAAACCCUGACCCAGUGACGCCGCGUGCAGGAAGGAGCCCUUCGGGGUGUAAACUCCUGGACUGGGGACGAGGAAGGACGGUACCCCAGUAGAAAGGGACGGCUAACUACGUGCCAGCAGCCGCGGUAAGAUAGCGUUCU
rnacentral:rRNA from 1 species